rnacentral:rRNA from 1 species
AGCGAACGCUGGCGGCAGGCCUAACACAUGCAAGUCGAACGAACUCUUCGGAGUUAGUGGCGGACGGGUGAGUAACACGUGGGAACGUGCCUUUUGGUUCGGAAUCACUCAGGGAAACUUGUGCUAAUACCGAAUGUGCCCUUCGGGGGAAAGAUUUAUCGCCAUUAGAGCGGCCCGCGUCUGAUUAGCUAGUUGGUGAGGUAACGGCUCACCAAGGCGACGAUCAGUAGCUGGUCUGAGAGGAUGACCAGCAACACUGGGACUGCGACACGGCCCAGACUCCUACGGGGGGCAGCAGUGGGGAAUCUUGCGCAAUGGGCGAAAGCCUGACGCAGCCAUGCCGCGUGAAUGAUGAAGGUCUUAGGAUCGUAAAAUUCUUUCACCGGGGACGAUAAUGACGGUACCCGGAGAAGAAGCCCCGGCUAACUUCGUG